CCGCGGGAUCUGCCGCCGGCUCGGGGCGAUGCUGCGGGGCGGGAGCGCGGGGAAGUGCCGGCAGCCCCGCCGCUUCUCCGGUGCCCCGGGGCGCACGGGGCAGCGCUGUCCGCCCGGGGCCGCGGGCAGGUGCGGCGGGAGCGCGGGCAGCGGCCCCUCGGGAAGUUUCCUCAAUGCAGCGGGCAGCCCUCGCGCAGGGAGGGAGCAUGACUGCGCGUGUCGCAGUGUGAGGAAUAGGGAACCAGGAGGCAUUCCAGGAUUAAAGGUAUUCAUUUUCCCUUCUCCCCCCCCUUCUCCCAAUUUUUGCAUGCGAAGCCCAUCGUCUGUGCGGGUCGUAUCGCAUGUACGGCCGGGUCCCUUCAGAACCAGUUAAGGUUAAAAUGGGAUCGUCUUUUGGCAGUGGUACCCAGUGGAGUCUGAAAUGUAGAACAAGUUAAAUCUCUGGAGAUGCAAGUCAAAUAUCUUCCUGUGCUUUCUGUGCUUAGCUGGAAGCCCAUAAUCUGUGGGAUCUUUUUGAAUUUCUGCUGCUGAAACCACAUAUUAUUGUAAGCAAAAGGGAAAAGCAAUUGAUGCUGGAAUUUGAACGUACUGCUGAAUUCUGUGAAACUGACUUAAGGUCUCAGUGUUGAUUGCUUUUGUGCCUUUCUUAUGUAUUUGCAGUAUGAGUACCAAAAUUAGACUUUGUUCCUUCUUAAACCCCCUCUAAACCAACCAAAUACACACAUCCCACCUACCUCCAGUUCGAUAUACUUUUCUGUCUAAAUCCCUCAUUAAUUAACCAGAGUGUUAUUAGCUAUCUAAAUAAUAUUCAGAGAAAUCCUGCUGGUUCUUUUCACACACGGAUGAUUAGAAGUACUCUGUGGGAAUUGGUUGUCCCCCGAAUACUGCAGAGUAUCUCAAAAUAUACAGUGACUUGGCAUCUGUAGAAGCUUUUGCCCCUGUUUUAAGUGCUGUGAUGGGGAUUUUAGUAGAAAUAAGACAUGUUAUUUUUUGAACUAAUGAUAAUUCAAACAAAAAAAAAUAGAGAAGCAGGUAUUAUGCGAGGGGUUUUCCUGUGUGGCGAAUAAAUAUAAUGUCUGUGAUGACAUAUGGAGCUAUUACUUCUAAAGCAAGAUUCUCUGGAGAAAAAUGUUACAAAGCUUCAGAAAACUACAGGAGCUAUUUAUUGCAGAAUAUGUGACUUCUUUUAUAAUGAUGAAAUAUGUUUUUAGCUGCAGGUAUUCACCAUAAUAUGCAAGAACAUAUAGAAAAAUAGUUGUCAGGUUUUUUAAUUUAUUUUUUUUCUUUAGAAAAAUGCCCCUAUUCUAGAUUUCUGAUGGUUUGGAUACAUUUCACAUAUUUCCAAAGGGAUCUACCCAGCACUUUGGGAGUGUUAGAAGAGGCCAGGAGAUCAAGCCUGUCAGCAGUUAUUAGGUAAUUAUUCCAGUAAUCUAACAGUCAUUUUAGUAAUGUGAAGCUAAGGCUUGCAAUCAAAAUAAAAUUUGUUCCCAUGUUCUUUCAAAGCUGAUAGUGGUAAAUUGGCAGCAUAGAUUUAGUUGUGGACAAUGCUGAAGACCUGGGAGAUUAAUUGACCAAGAAGUAGUUAGACACAAAGCCAUCUUGCAGUUUUUUGUAUAGUUAGGAUUUUUCUCUAAGACGUUUCUAAUGCUGUAUGUUGGUUAUGAAGGCCAUAAAUAGAAUUUUGAAGGUGAAAUGUAGCACACUGAUACUGACUGCUGAAUGUGCUCACUCUGAAUUGACAACAUCAAGAGUGACUGAAGUGUCAUUUCUUGAUUUUGAAUCUCCAUCCUUGGAUAUUUAUUAUAAAUUUUAAAAGUCUCUGUAGGAUGCAUAUGGCAAAUUUCUUGAACAUCCACAUUUUCUAACGUUCUGUGCUUUUUUUUCCCCUUUUUUUCUCCUUGCCUAUAUUUUAAUGUUUAAGGAUUAUUUUUGCAUUUGCUAGCUACUUGCAGAUGUCUCAUACUAAUUGAGAACACAUUAAUCUAAGGAUGUAAAUCUUUAGGCCACAAGAAAUUGAAAUGAAACCUUAGUGUCUGUAAUAGGGAAAUGGAUAACAUCUUCCAAGCUACCCUGCAUCUACUUUUGCAAAACUCCUGUUUUAAAAAAUGCAAAUGGCAGCAUGUUGCAAGAUAAGUUUUUGAGAUGAGUUACUGAUGUUUUCUAAAUUUCGUGGUAUGAAUUUAUCAGUGUAAAGGUGUCUUGUAGAAACCAGCAAUGUUAAUUUCUCGCUUCUGUAUGUUUCCACAAAUCUUCAGAAAGUUCCAAGUGUUGUUACUGCCUUGAAGUGUUGUGGCUUUUGGGCCAAUCCUAAAUCAUGAAGACACUGAUGUUGUUUUGAUAGGCCUUGUAUCAGUCCCUGACAAAAAAGAUGAAUACUUGCCAGUUAUUUUUCUUUUUGAUGAGGUAUUUCCGUCAUCCAUAGUUCACACAGUGACUCUACAAUGAUCUGAGUGUGAAAGGAAUAGUUUGGAUUUGCCUAAAAGAGGGAGUUAAUUUUAUUUGGAAAGGUGCAUACAAACUGUCAAAGCUAAGAAAUCUCCCAGGGAGUACCACAGCAUUCAUAUUGGAGCAUAUUAGCUGAAUUUUGUUUUUCCCUUGUGAACUUCAGAACACUUAGCCCUCGAUUAAUUUUUAUUUUCUAUGUACCUGAAAGUUAAUUGAGGCCAUUUGAAUCCUACUGAUGGAAGUCAAAUGGCCCUUAUUAAGCACGAGGAGCUCUUUAGAGCUCCAUUAAUGCUUACCUAAAGUCCUGCCAGAAUGAUACUUUGAAACUACUCCUUUUGCAGACAUUAUAAGCUUCCUGGAAAGUUUACCGGAACCAGUGAACCUUUUUAACAUUAAUAUUUAAAAUACUAAUGUAUUUUUAAAUUUAGAAUGGAAUUUUUUGAUGUCUACUACUCUGAUGUGUAAAAGAAUGAUUUGAGAUUUUAUGGAUAUGUGAGAAAAAAGGUGACAUUCUGAAGGAGUCAGCCUUGGAACCUGGUGGGCAUUAGAGCAAAUGUUCCUUUUCCAGGGUUGCAACCCCUUGGUGCCAGAACCUCUCACACUAGGAAAUUCCAUAGUUCCCCAGUCUACUGAAUCCUCUUGUUCAUGGCAGUGAAGGCAAGAACCUACAGGUUCUGUAGGGGUCAAAUAAUAGAUUUUGCUAAGAGCAUUUCCCAGUUUUCCUCCUUGCCUUCUCUCUGAAGUGUUCAUACAACUGUGCAAUAUAGUUUCACAAUUCUACCACAUUAAUUUAUACUCAUUUACCAACUUUUACACUUUUGCUCUGCCUUGAAUUCCUUUUGCCAGGAAACAAGCUCUAACAUUAGAAUAAAUUUUUGGCUUUGUGUUUUGAAAUGUUAAGUAAAGCAGACAUAAUGGUUCUUGCUUUCAAUAUCAGUUUUAAUCAGAAUACAGGAUCUCCAAAAUGAAGACCACUGUAUAUAAUUGUACUAUUUGUUUUCCCAGUGUUAAAAAUUAAAGUUCAGAUAAUUUACAAUGUUAAAAUAUAGAUCCACAUUGUUUCAAAGGCAGUAUUAAAAAGUACAAUCACAUGGGGUUUUUAUGAACAUUCAUUUCUGGGGACAGAGGAACAGUACUGCUUUACAGAGAGCCCAAAUUAACAAUAAUGAAAGAAAGACAAAAGAAAACAUUCUGAUUUAGGGAUCACUUUUCACUUUCUGGAGUGGAGUGAGUGUCAUGCCACUUCCCACUUAUGCUUGUAUUUGGUUUUGGAAGGAUUCCAGAUUGAAGUUUAAUAUGCAUGACUGUCCAAAUGCACCUUAGAUGGCUGCAUUACUGUUAAUUGAUAGAAAAACUGGCUGCCUGAAAGGAUGGAAGUGCUUUACACAGCAGUUCAGGAGCCCUUUGUGGCCAGCAGUAGUAACAGAGUACUAACAGUCACUCUUCAGAAUAAAGAAAUGAAGGCUAAAUCCACUUUUCAUAUAUAAUAAAAGCUGCAGAAAGAGUUGAGUAGGGUGUGGGUUUCACAGUUAGACACAGCAAUGUGUUGACAUGUUUAUUUUCAUCCUUGCUUAGUAGCAAAAUGCUAAAUAUAUUCUUCUUUGGUUACAUUAAAGUAUGAUUCCUUUCAACUUUGUCCUUGGGUUGACAUGUGUUUGUUUUAUUUUUAGCACUUGAAAACCAACACAGUUAUAUCCCUAUAGGGUGCAGUGGAAGCACUGGAGUAUAGCAAGAGAAAAUGAAAUCAGAUGCUUAAUACUGAAUUGUUGCAGGUGAAGAGGCAAAGAUCUUGAUACUGAUAACAACCACAAAAAAAAAACAAGUGGACUGACAGGACAGAAUAUUGUGUGAUUUGUUGGAAAAAUCACUCUUAUCUGCUUGAUCAGAGUGAACUUCUUGAGAAAUAUAGAAUAGAGCUAUGUGAUAGAAGACUGUGCUUUCUAUGCUUUUGUGGGUGGUUGUCAAAUGUUUAGUGUUCAUUGAACAUGAAAUUUCUGUGAAUUUGUAAUAGUGUUUUAUCCUUCCAAGCUUAUCUUGGUGUUGUGGAAGGUGGGAGAAACAUGCAAAAACACUUCAUGUGAAGUAUUGGUGAAAGAAAUCUCAAAGAUGUGCAAUUUACUCACCAAGAAAAAAACUACCCUUUGAAUUAAAUUUUAUUUCAUGGGGCUUUUUAGAGGGAUAUAAUAUUAUCCUAACUUUUUAUGCCAACUUGAAGUCUUUGAGAGACUAUAAAUUACUAGUGAGCAUUAACAAUUAGGCAUUAAUUUGAAUAAUUUUUUUUUUCUAAAAAUGAGCAAAAAUUAUCUGAGAACAUGAGUUUGGUACAUUUUGUGCCACUUAAAAAUGGUAGCAUUUACUGAAAAUAAUGUUUCUGAGGAUGGAAAGGAGAUAUCCAGUUGAAUAAAAUAAAGUAUGGAGAUACAGGAAUCAGUGCUGUUUCAAGCCAAGCUUGUUUCAAAUUCAUAGAGUUGGGAGUCUUUUAGGCUAUUGUGCUAGUUGUGGCUGGGGAAAUGUUAAUUUUCUUCACAGUACAUAGCUUGGGGCUACCUUUUGCAUUUGUGCUGAAAAUUGUGUUGAUGAGAGAUGUUUUUGUUAUUGCUGAGCAGGGCUGACAUUGAGCCAAGACCUUUUCUGCUUCUGGUACUGCCGUGCUGGCAAGGAGACUGGGGAUGCAUGGGAAACUGAGAGGGGACACAGCUGGGACAGCAGAUCCCAGCCCACCAAAGGGGUAUCCCAGAGCAUAUGACAGUCAUGCUUGGCAAAUACAGAGGGGUGAAGAAAGAGGAAGGGGCGGGGGGAUGUUUGGAGUGAUGUCUUUUGUCUUCCCAAAGAACUGUUACUCAUGAUGGAGCCGUGGUUUCCUGGGGAUGGUUCAAUGCCUGCCUGUCCAUGGGAAAUGGUUUGUGAACUCCUUGUUUACUUUUCCUGUGCAUGCAGCUCUUGCUUUCCCCAUAAAACUGUCUUUAUCUCAACCCAUCAGUUUUCUUACUUUAGUCCUGAUUCUCUCAUCCAUGCUGGGAGAUUGAGGUGGUGGGGAAGAGAGUGAGUGGCAGCGUGGUGCUUAGUUGGCAACUCAGCUUAGUGACAGAUAUUGACCCAGAGCAGCAUCCACAAGUGCAGAAAGAGAAGACAAGUAAGGGAACAGUACAGAGUUAGAUAUGAAAGUCUGGACACCAGUUGAGAAAUUAUGCAGUUAAUGACCCCGAGCAGUCAAUUAAAAAAGCCUAUAUAUUACUUUGUUCUGUUGCCUCUAGGUAUGAAGAGAAAAUGAAAGGACAUUGUGGCCUUUUUGCCAAAAGCAGCACUCAGGAAUACAAGCACAUACAGGAAGCAAAUCUUUGAUAUUUUAUGAGAAAAUGAAAUAAAACUUAUUAGAAAUGAAAAUAAAAAAGAAGAUCUAUUCUUGUGAAUGUGUGUUUGGGAAGGUCUGACACAGAUAGUCAACACACUGUUUAGUUUCACUGAUAAAUAAGUCUCAGUCAUGGGAUAUGCAUACAUAAUAUAGUUCCAGUUGUUUGAGGAUAAUAUCGAUUAAUAAAUCAAUUAACUGUACCAAUUAAUCUAUUGAUUAAUGGUGCAGUUGAAGCUGAGUUUCUGCAACAGCUGGGUGGAAGACACCUGGAACCAAGACACUAUGAAGAGCCAUGGGGAAAAGUCAUCUGUGGGAAGAGACUUCAGGAGAGAUGUUCAGAUUUCAGUCCCUGUUCUAUUCUUCCACAUGAAAUUGCAUCUCAGUUGGCUGCACUAAGUUUUCUCCUGUAAUUUCCUACUGUUUUGAAGUCCUUGAAGUACUUUCUUCAAUUUUGGAAGAUGUACCUGGCCAAUCAUGACUGAAGUGGAGGCCUUAAUCCUUCUCUUAGAUGGACAAGCAAGAGACAUUCUCUGUUUUUCAGAGAGAGCUUCUGCUCCUAUCAUUUGCAAAUUAAGAGGGUAGGAAGUAAGGGGAAAUGUCUCUUUCAUACACUGUAGCCUUUGCACAUUCUGCUCCUCAGCUGCAUUCUACCUGCAUUUGAUUUCCAAAGGCUGGCAUUUGGGCUACUAGGACUACCAGCAGUUUAUGUGAAUAUAUCCCUUCCCAUCUCACUAGAAUCUAUCCAUAAUACUUCAUCUGAUGCCUUGAGAGGCUAUAGAACAGAGGCUAGACAGUGUUAAAGGAAUAAAGUAGGUAUUUAUUAAAAAGGCCUUGAAAGGAUACACCUUGGGCAGCAUGAGAGCCUGUACUUUGUGUACUAAGGCUACACCCAAGAGGGACAAUGGAUCACGCAUUUUCACACUUUUAUAAGUUUUGGUCCAUUUACAUAUCGGGGUUAAUUGUCCAAUUAUAGCUUCAAGUUAUGAAGUUGUAUCCUCCCAGAUUGCUCUCCUCAAUUCCCUGUUGUUUAUACCUUUGGGCUGGAAAAGGAUUGUUUUAUUUAACUAAACUGUGAGAAGAACUUGCUAACACUUUAUAUGAAAUUCAGAGUUGUAUACUAAUGCAGCUCAGAAUCUGGAUAAUAUGAAAGCUAAAAUUUAAGGCAUCACAUCCUUGUAGGAUAGGUAUAGCACUAGUGGUGCAGUCAGUCUUGUCUGGCACAUCCGAUGGGCCUGAUUCCUGUAAAAUUAAUGCAAAACAAUGGAGUGCACUUGGUAGCUCCAGGUUUCUUCCGUGGUUGUUCUUUUUUGGUGGCUGUUGUUUGUUUAAUUUUAUUCGUGGGAGAAGAGUAAUCCAUUUGAACAAAGGAACUUUGCAAAUCUUAUUGUCAGAUAUCCUUUGUGGUCCUCUGUCCAUUAAAGUGUACUGAGCUGUCAAAUCAGAGCAAUCUUUUCUUAAUGUAAAAGAAUAAUAUGACAAAGAAAAGCCAUCUUUGGAAGUGAUGUCAGAAAACAAUUUCUUAUUCGUAUAAAUUGACAUUGUAAAAGAAAACAACCUCAUUUGAGGAAUAUGAAUUGUUUCAGAAUAUGAUAGAAACAGCUUUUCCAGUAAAGGACGUACCUUUUCUCUUGCCAUUACUACACUUAACAUUUCAUUUGGUUUAAAAAUUGAUCUAUAAGGUUGUAAUGCUGGCUUCACUAAAACCAGGUAGGUUUGAUGUCAAAGCUCAGAUCUCAUUGGUCCAAGCCUGGAAUAGAAUGAGAAUAUUUUUUCUUAGCCUUCUAUACUAGUGUCUUGUGUUAUUGUGAUCUUGACCUCUUAAUUGUACGUUUGGAGAAACCAUUGUCCUGGUUACAGUAGCUCAUAUCCCUGUUAUAUCUCUUUCCAGUCACUGAGUCAUUUUCUGUUUUUAGAUUGUACUUCUUUUUAGCUUAUUGUUAUGACUAAAUCCUACUGACUUUCUUCCCACAACUCUUGUCACUAAGUAAAGUGGGAAAUAAUGCAUUUUUUUCUUAUAUCAUAUACCAUGCCUUUGUCUUGCCACCCGAAAUACAGGGAGAAAAUACCUAGAAAGGGUUAAGAAGGAGAUCUAAAAAGUGCUAGAGAUGGGUUAAAUGGGAAGGAGCUGCUGCUGCAGCCAGUCUUUCCCUGGUGUAUUACUGCCUGAAACUGUAUCAGCUAUCAAUUAUUGAUAGAAAAACCUGUUUCCAGAGAGCUGACUCCUCAGAUAGUUUCAGCAAUGCUAUACUAACGGUAUCUAUCCAUUCCAGAACUAAUAUUUUCUACAACCAGAGACUGAAAUGGCAUGACUGAAGUUUUAAGUAAUUUGGCUUUGACAGUUUCACCAUUUACUGAGAAGCUGGAACAGAAUUUGAACUCUAUUUCUGCACUAUCCUAGGUUAUAAUGCCAUCCUUUCCUAAUGAGGGAGAUAACAAUGGAACUGCUCCUCUGUCUUUGAGUUCGGAGCUACCCUAUCAGAGCACAAUUAAAAGGAAAGUCAGAAAGAAGAAGAAGAAGAAUGGAGUCAUCACUGCCAAUAUUGCUGGCACAAAAUAUGAAAUUGUGCGUGUAGUAAUACAAGAGAUGGGAUUUGUGAAAACGCGUGAUGAGGAUGAAACAGCAAAUCUGAUCUGGAGUGAUUGUGCUGUGCAGCAGGAGAAGAUUGCUGAGCUGCAGAACUAUCAGAGAAUCAACCAUUUUCCUGGAAUGGGAGAGAUAUGCAGAAAGGAUUUUCUGGCAAGAAACAUGACUAAAAUGAUCAAGAGUCAGCCUCAGGAGUACAGUUUCAUUCCUCGAACAUGGAUCUUUCCUGCAGAAUACACACAGUUUCAAAACUAUGUGAAAGAAUUGAAGAAGAAACGUAGACAGAAAACUUUCAUAGUCAAACCAGCUAAUGGUGCAAUGGGACAUGGGAUUUCUUUAAUAAGAAAUGGAGAAAAGUUACAAGCUCAGGAUCACUUAAUUGUUCAGGAAUAUCUUGACAAACCAUUUCUUAUGGAAGGCUACAAGUUUGAUUUACGUGUGUAUAUUCUUGUGACCUCCUGUGAUCCAUUAAAAAUAUUUUUAUAUCAUGAUGGACUGGUGAGAAUGGGCACAGAAAAGUAUCACCCCCCCAGUGACUCAAAUUUGAGUCAAUUGUAUAUGCAUCUGACUAACUACUCUGUCAAUAAGCAUAAUGAACACUUUGAACGGGAUGAAACAGAAGACAAAGGAAGCAAACGCUCCAUAAAAUGGUUUACUGAGUUUCUAGAAACAAAUAAUCUUGAUGUCUCCAAAUUCUGGAGUGAUAUUUCAGAGCUGGUGGUGAAGACUCUGAUAGUUGCAGAGCCGCACGUGCUUCACGCUUAUCGCAUGUGCAGGCCAGGGCAAGCACCAGGAAGUGACAGUGUCUGCUUUGAAGUCCUGGGAUUUGAUAUUCUGCUGGACAGAAAACUAAAACCAUGGCUCCUAGAGAUUAAUCGUGCCCCAAGCUUUGGAACGGAUCAAAAAAUAGACUAUGAUGUAAAAAGAGGUGUUCUGCUAAAUGCAUUAAAGCUUCUCAACAUACGAACAAGUGAUAAAAGGAAAAAUUUAGCCCAACAGAAGGCUGAGGCUCAAAAAAGACUGUAUGGUCAAGGGUCAGUGAAAAAACUGCUGCCAGGUUCCUCAGACUGGGAGAAGCAGCGCCACACACUGGAAAGGAGAAAACAAGAACUGAAGGAAAGACUUGCACAAGUACGUAAACAGAUUUCCAAAGAGGAGCAUGAAAAUAGACACAUGGGGAAUUACAGGCGAAUUUACCCUCCUGAUGAUAAGACAUUACUUGAAAAGUAUGAGAGUUUGUUAGCCACCGCUUUCCAGACAUUUCUUGCUGGAAGAGCAGCUUCACUUCAGCGGGAAAUGAAUAACCCCUUAAAAAGAAUGAAGGAGGAGGACAUUUUGGAUCUUCUGGAACAGUGUGAAAUAGAUGAUGAAAAGCUAACGGGAAAAUGCACCAGGCAGCGAGGACCUAAGCCCUUGUGUUCAAUGCCAGAAAGUGCACAUUCCUUAAGGAAACCUAAGAACCACAGCAGUGACAGUAGCUGUGAUAGUGACAGCAGCGUGUCAGAAUCAGGAGAAGAAACUGAAAAGGAAGAUCACAAUGAAAAAAAAGAGAAAAAAGUUUCAUAUGAUGUUGAAGAAAAUAAAUACAAAUCUUUGGAACGAUCAGGUAGAAUGAACUGCAAACCUUCAAAUAAAAAUGUAAAGUCUCCAUCAAAUUCAUCCCCCACACCAUCCACAGGUCCAAUAAGGCGUUCUGUGAGCUGCCCUCGUUCCAUAUCAAUCCUCACUAUGCAGUCCCAGGGAGCUGAGCAGCGCCCCUUUUCAGCCAAAGCAUCUCUCCAAAUGCAGCGAACAGCCUCAGUGAACAGGUCUCACUCUCUAAGUCGUAGCCCAUCUUCAGCCAGAUUCUCUCAGACAGCCACCUUGGGAACUAUGAACUCUUCAGGGUCAGCUAAUAGAAUUGGAAAGACAUUAAGAUUGUGUCUUCACAACAACGUGUUAAAGAGUGAGUCUUUGCUGCAACAGAAAACAAAAGAGCAAGAAGUUGCUUUGACAAAAGAGACUCUUCUCCGUAUCAAUGACUUGAGAGUAAGGUUUCCAGGAAAAACAAAUGAAGAAUCGGAAUUAAUUAUAGAAGAUAUUAUGGAUAAUUGGAAGUAUCAUAAAACAAAAGUGUCAUCCUAUUGGUUGGUAAAACUGGAUUCAGCAAAGCAACGAAAAGUUUUAGAUAUAGUCAGGACAAGUGUCCGUGCAGUUCUACAGCAUGUCUGGAAAGCUCCAGACAUUGAAAAUCUACAUCUCUACCGUCUUUUCAACCGUGUAUUUAAUCGCUUACUUUGGAGCCAUGGUCAAGGCCUAUGGAACUGUUUCUGUAAUUCAGGGAGCUCUUGGGAAACCAUAUUUAGUAAAGGCUCAGAGGCGCUGACUCCAGAGCAACUUCAGUGUUGCCAGCGAAUAGUACAGCUUUGUAAACACUGCCUGCUGGUAGUUUACAAACAUUCAUCAGAUUCAAGAGGAUCUCCAACUGGGAUGAGCCACCACUGGGAUGAUACAAGAUCCCUCAAAGUCAGUGUUUCCAGAUUUGCAUUCCUAGAGUUAAUACUGCAGAAAAUUUUACAUCAUGACCAACCACAAGCUAUUCAAACAGAUCAGAUUACUCUAAUGUACUCAGCUAACAGGCUUGCUUUUGGAAUGCAAUGAAAGGGAUGGUCCAAGAGAACUUUCUCGUCUCCAGUUUCUGUAUUUCUUUGGAUGCUGAAUGGAAGUUAUUCAUAAACUUCAUAGGCUGGAGGAAUCUAAGCCCUCUAUAGCCUAAAUAUCAGUAAUGGAGUGUCAAGACAACUCUGAUUAAAGUUACAGUUAAACAUUUCAUCUAGACGUGAAUACAGCAAUAUGCCAGGUGUUUAUUGCCAAGACCUUCACUGUUCAUCCUGAAAUCAUCCUCAUCCAAACUUAGCUGCAGUCCAUCUGGAACGCCUCGCCCUAACAUUUUGUUCACACACAGAUACAGUCACUUGUGAAGUAAAAGGAAAUUGCUGUUUGUAAAUAAGAGCAUUCAGUUUCUUUUUUUUAACUUGUGAUGGAGCUAAACAUAAGCACUGUUAUAUAUUUCCUACCAUCAUAUUAUAAUAAAAUUUAGCUGAAAACCUACUGUAAAAGCAUAGCUUUUCUGGGAACAUAAUAAACCUUGUUAAGUUGUUUACACACACAUGUGAAUGUGUAGAUCUUGCUAGGUUUAUAAGUAACUCCUUCCUACUAGAAAUGUUAUUUUUGCUGCAGAAUAUAUAAAAUGGAAUUGUUCUUGAAGAUUCUAUUACAGUAUUACAUUAUUUUGUAAGUACAAUACUUUGAUUGAAAUUAUUUAUUGUAAACUAUAUUAUUUAUUGUCUCAAAUGUCCUUUAACAAAGCAGAUAAUUAGAAAAUUCUUGCAGAACAGUGAAACUGUAACAGUUAUCAAAAAUAAUCUGAUCAGUUCUUGGAUAUGUUUAAAAUAAACCCCAAAACCCUGUAAGCCAAACCUAAAGCAGACAUAUUUUUAUUUCUCCUCUGAAAUGACAAGAUCUAUUUAAUACUGCUAUUUUUCUUAAAGGACAUGAUAUAGUAUCUUGUAGCCAAAGCGAAGGCAUCUAGUACACAAACAGUAAAAUAUCAGUUUAGGCAUUCACUUCCUAAUUGGAUUCUCAUAAUAAAAUGGAAGCCAAUGUUUGUUUCCAGGUUUUCAUUCACAUUACCUGUAUCCUGUGCCUUUAGGUUUCCUUUGGGAGCAAGCAGUCAUCCUCAGCUCCACACGCAUGCAUAGUGCAUAGUUUUUCUGUUACGCUGCCUAAGUGGUAAAGCAGACAUUUUUAGGAAAUACUGCAGCUGUAAUGUAUUAUUUAAAACUUAAACUAAUCGGUUUGUUGUAGUUUUUAGCAUGCAAUCCAGUACCUACUGUAGAAUGUACCUUUGCAAUGGACAGUAUUUUCUAGAUUGCUGACACCUUUAAAUGUUGGAAAUCUAAUUCACCAGAAAGCUCUCAUUCAGCUCUAGAUUCCUGAGGCUGGCUGAACAGCACAAAACCAAAAUGAGCCAGAGCAGGAACCUAGUAUUUACAGGAUUUGUAGCCUGAAAACAUCAUUCGGGUUUUGAUACAUACAGCCAUUCAUCCCACUCAGCAUUGUGCCAUGUGAGCCUUAUUCAUUAGAGAAAUAAUUAUUAAAGAAAUCAGUUACUCUAGAUUUAAAAAUAAUUAAGUUUUUUAUUUGAGUAAAGAACAGAGUAGUUAUUAUUUACCAAAGACUCAUGUACUUAUGAAUUGUUUAACCCUGAAGCGUGUUUGUAAAUUAUCAAUAUAUUUCAGGUAUACUUUAAAAAUAAUUUGGGGGCUAAUUAUCCUCAGGAGCAGGUAUGUUAGUGUUUUUUGAUAUCCAGCAAUUUAAGACAAAUUUAAGAGACUUAGGAGAUUUGGGACUGAAGUUGUAUGGAAAUUAUUUUUUAAGAAGUUUUAGUCAUAGGAUAUAUAAAAACUGGGAAUUUGAUUGAGAUUUUUGAUGCCUGUGCUGUAGUGCCUCAGCUCUAGAAUUGCAGAAUAUAUAACAAGAUUAUUUGUAAACAAAUAAAAAAAAACCCUCUUGAGAUUACCAAAUCAAAGCAGUCUUUUGGUCUGGUAAAUUCUUUUUAAUUUUUGUGGUAAUACUAGUUCAGUAAUAUAGUAUGUUCACAUCAAUUGUAUAUCUCUUUUGGUCCAUACAGUGACUAUUAAAGCAUACUCUGGUUACCUGUAACACCUAAUAAAAGCUGUACAUUUUCUCUUCUUGGAGGAGGCUUCCAUUGUAGUCUACUUUUGGCCAUAAGGAUAAGAUCAGCUUCCAGCUUAGCUUGCCAGACUCUAACAGAGCUUUAGGAUAGGAGGUUCACAGGUCUUCUUUUUUCAUUUUUUUCUAAACUUCACUAUAUGAUUUCUAUUUCUGAAUGCCAGUGCUGGGCCAGGUCAGUCUGUACAGAGUACUCUGCCAAAAGAAAGAGGGCUACUGACCAUACCUAUGGGCAAAUCUAGGAAAAAAUUUCAUUUAGCAUGUACAAAAGUGGACCAGAUUGUGGUUUACGUCUGACAUGACUUAAUAUAUUUGUAUUUCUGAUAACCUUUCCUAAAGUGGUCAUGUGUUCCUAAUAUAAUGUGUGAAUCAAUACCUUCAAUAAACAUCAUGCUACACUUGGCUGCA